rnacentral:rRNA from 1 species
CAGUAGCCACGGGAAUACGAAGGGUGCAAGCGUUACUCGGAAUUACUGGGCGUAAAGCGUGCGUAGGUGGUUGUUUAAGUCUGUUGUGAAAGCCCUGGGCUCAACCUGGGAAUUGCAGUGGAUACUGGGCGACUAGAGUGUGGUAGAGGGUAGUGGAAUUCCCGGUGUAGCAGUGAAAUGCGUAGAGAUCGGGAGGAACAUCCAUGGCGAAGGCAGCUACCUGGACCAACACUGACACUGAGGCACGAAAGCGUGGGGAGCAAACAGGAUUAGAUACCCUGUAGUCCCUGUCUCUUAUACA